GUUGGGACUCAUGAUAGAAGAACUGUAUUAUGCAUUAACUAUACUUAGAAGUUCAUUCAAUUCAGUUCUACUAGAUUGUCACUAUAUGCUGCUAGACAUCGCUGGUAGAUUGUAGGAUUUAUAAGACAUUGGGUUCCGGUGGCACAGCGGAAGGGCUAAAUGUUUAAAAUUUUUAUUCAAAAAUACUUGACGCAUCGAAAAUCUUAAUACCCAGGAA
rnacentral:lncRNA from 1 species